GGUGAACACCGGGCCAUAGCGCUCACUGAUCUGAUGGAGGCGGGUGGGAGAGGUUAGAGGGAGCAGCCCCUGCUCCGAAUGGACCCAGCACCGAGAUUUCAUGUACUGGGAUGUUUCGCCCAGUCGGGUUCUCACAGUCAGGGAGCUGGACAUUCCAAGAUCCUGUCUUUCCUGGCUAGGACCCUGACGCUUAACCUCCAAAACUCCCUUUCCUGAGACUCUGGUCCACAGUGGUCAAUCCCCUGCCACAAAGCUCCAGCCAGAUGGGCAGCCGCCACCCCGUGCCACCCAUCUCCCUGCCUUGGGACACCUUCAUGAGGGAGGUGCACAUCUGCUCUGUGUUCAGCUGCAGUGGAAAGGGAGUAUUUAGGAAGAGAAGAUAAUAUUUGAAGGAUACUGAGGUGUGGAAAAACUGUGGACUGUGUGAUCCCCCACCCAUGCUGCUCCUCACCAGACAGGGCUCACCAGCUUGGGCUCCCAGUACA